rnacentral:rRNA from 1 species
UACGGGGGGGGCAAGCGUUGUUCGGAAUUACUGGGCGUAAAGGGCUCGUAGGUGGCCAACUAAGUCGGACGUGAAAUCCCUCGGCUUAACCGGGGAACUGCAUCCGAUACUGGAUGGCUUGAGUUCGGGAGAGGGAUGUGGAAUUCCAGGUGUGGCGGUGAAAUGCGUAGAUAUCUGGAGGAACACCGGUGGCGAAGGCGGCAUCCUGGACCGACACUGACACUGAGGAGCGAAAGCCAGGGGAGCAAACGGG